GAGUCUGUGAGUCAAGCAAGGAGAAGGAGGAAGAGAAGAGAAGAGCAAAGAGCUUUUUUUCCUAUAGGUCCUUGUGAUGGAAACUUAAGAGUGGAAAGAGAGAGCAAGGGUUUUUCACAGUCAAGAGAAUGGGGACUGAAGGUUUUUAUGGCCCUUUAAUAAUGAUGGCAUUUGUUAAUUGCUUACUAUGUGCCAGACACUGUACUGAGCCCUUUCUCAGAAACAGUUGUAGAAGUGGAAAAAGAGUGGGUAAGAAGGCUUGGUGGAAAAAGCAGUACUACAAAAAAACAAACACUAGCUAUGCAGAUAUUGUAUUUGUGAAUUAUAGAAAUAAAACCUAAAACAAAACCCAAAUCUAAAAUAUUUAAAUCCAAUUAUUACCCAGUUAAAGAGAAAUCCAAAUCACUACUCCACUGCUACUCUUUAACUGAAAAAAAUAAAAAUUCACGUCCAGAUAAAAGUGAAUAAUCCAUUCAAAAACAUAGAAUCGGGACUUCUAAGAUUCUGGGAUAAAUGUCUAUAGAAGUGUAAACCAGAGGCCAUAAUGAUUAAAAAAAAUAUUUCGAGCCAAAAGAAAAGUAAUCAUUUUUCCUAAUUUUAAAAAGAAAUUAGUAUUCAUUUUACAAUUAAUAAAACCGAAAUGGCUGGCAGUGGGUCUGGAUCUUGUCCAGUAGAUAAAUGGAACUAGUUUUAAUUGGACAGUCUGGCAGUUAAGAUUCAUCCUCCAAAUUGCUCAUAAAGCCCUCUAGGGAUUAACUUUAGUUCGUCUAAUCUAUUUAAAAUGUUUUGUUUGUACACCAUAUCUCUCCUAAAAAAAAUAGUGUUUUCCUGAAAUAUUUCCAGGGUAUUAAUCUUAGCCAUUUCCAGAAUCCAUGAGUUAGAACCAGACGCAAAAGAGUUGCAACAGCAUAAUCUCGGCGACUGACUCAAAAACAAAAUGAGAGGAGUCCUCGCUAGUUUUGCCAGAGAUGCAAAGAAAUCUCUCCGAAAUAGGCAGCUCGUCAGGUUCGAGGAAAUCAUUGCCUACAUCCAGAAGAAGAUGUCUUCUUUAUUAGGACUUCAAAGGCAAACACCAGACCAUAGUGGCCCAUUGGAAGACCACACUUUCUACCUGGAUGAGGUCGAACAUCUGAUGGACGAGCUGCUCUUCAGAAUUACUGCCUUAUCAAACGGGCUCAGUGUCUCUCUUCCAGAACAAUCCCACACCGAUCCGGAAGGAGGGAAUGAUUUUUAAGUAUCUCACACUGUCAUUAUUCUAGCCAAGCUUAUG
rnacentral:lncRNA from 1 species